AACGCACAUUGCGCCUCCUGUAACAGGGAGGCAUGCCUGUCUGAGCGUCAUUUAAUAUCAAUAAGCCUAUAUGGCUUGUUCUGGGCCUCGCCGUCGGCGUCGCCUGAAAAUGAUCGGUCUUAUGAGCGGACGAGUUCCAUUAGGGCAGACCGUUCUUAUGACUUUAAAUCUCUCUGACUUGACCUCAGAUCAGGUAGGGCUACCGCCUGAACUUAA
rnacentral:misc_RNA from 1 species